rnacentral:tRNA from 1 species
GGUGGCUCAGCGGUAGAGCGCUUGUCUUGCAUGCAUGAGGCCCUGAGUUUGAUUCCUCAGCACCA